CAUUCACACAGACUUCCUUUCCCCACAUUAUCAAAGGCUGACUCACUUAUAUCCUCCCCGUCAGCUGUGGACUCACAGAACAGAUAUUUAGUCUGACUGUGUCGCCUGCUGUCGGGCGGAUCGUCGGUCUUCAUUGGUAAUAAAUAUCUCUUCUCUUCCUCAGAGAUGACUUCAUGAGGUCACUGAGUUUGUGGCUUUUCAUUAAUGUCUUUAACAUACAUCAGUUCUGAAGAUGAGCUUUAGUUUGAUUUGUGAGGUCUCUAUUAUUUCAGUUAAGAUGCGUCUGAGUGGACACAUCAAACUUUAUUUUCAUUUUCAAAAGGUUUUUCAAAAGCAGGAGGACUGCAGGAAUGUGGUGAGUGCCUGACUGUGUGCACACCGCAGCCUCAUUACUGCGACCGCCUGAGGGAAGGUUUCAUGCAGAGAAUCAGAGCCGCCUGCAGAGAGACGGGACAAGUUAAGGUUCGCACGGAGGAGCCUGCAGGACGGAGCCCGCUGGUUUCUGGUUGUACAGCUGAAGUUUCUCCGCUGUGAUCUUCCAGACUUUAAACGUUCUGGUUGUUUCUCUUGUUUUGUUCACUUUUAGCAGAGUUCAUGUAGCUCUUCGUGUCGCCCAGGAAACACAACACACGAGAAUCUGACGGAGUUAUUGAUUGUGCAGUGGGUGUCCUCCGUGUCACCGCUGUCCUCCGUGUCUCCACAUGUUUUAGCUCCUCCACUCGUGGGUGGCUCACAUUUCUGCUAUUCUGCUCAGUAAUGAACUCUGCAGACCACAAGAAGUUUCCUGCUUCCCACAGCUGCUAAAUCUUUCCAGACAGUGUGUGUGUGUGUGUGUGUGUGUGUGUGUGUGUGUGUGUGUGUGUGUGUGUGUGUGUGUGUGUGUGUGUGUGUGUGUGUGUAUGUGUGUGUGUGUGUGUGUGAGAGCUCUGGUGGUUGAGAGGUUCACCCUGAAGAACAAGCCUCAGCUCUUCUGCCUCUUCUGCCUCGUCGUCAGACUGCAGAUUGAUUCCACAUCCUCUAAAGUUGGGCCUGAUACGCGAGGAUUAAAUCCUCCUUCUGUUCUCUUCACCACCAUCGAGGUUUCUCCUCUUAGUUUGGGACGACAGAGAUCUACUCUUUCACAUCUCAUGACCUUGUGACUUUCCCACCCAGAAACAGAGGUGCUUUACUCUCCCUGUAAUAACAGAGCCUGUGCAUUGAGAACGCCUGCAUCGCUGCUCAUGAUAAGGCAGGACGCUACGCCGCGAUGUUCACCGUGGACAAAGUCCUAACCCCACCCAUGGGCACCAUCAUGGACGUCCUGAAGGCAGACGACCGCUUCAGCCUGCUGGUCGGAGCCGUGCAGACUGCCGGGAUGACGGAACUGCUGAACCAGCAGUUGGCGCUCACCUUCUUCGCUCCACCAAUGCCGCCUUCAGCGCUCUGCCGCGGGCCGACCUCAACCAGCUGAUGC